rnacentral:misc_RNA from 1 species
GAUGAAGAACGUAGCGAAAUGCGAUAAGUAAUGUGAAUUGCAGAAUUCAGUGAAUCAUCGAAUCUUUGAACGCACAUUGCGCCCGCCAGUAUUCUGGCGGGCAUGCCUGUUCGAGCGUCAUUUCAACCAUCAAGCCCCCGGCUUGUGUUGGGGACCUGCGGCUGCCGCAGGCCCUGAAAAGCAGUGGCGGGCUCGCUGUCACACCGAGCGUAGUAGCAUACAUCUCGCUCUGGGCGUGCUGCGGGUUCCGGCCGUUAAACCACCUUCAUAACCCAAGGUUGACCUCGUAUCAGGUAGGAAGACCCGCUGAACUUAAGCAUAUCAAUAAGCGGAGGA